rnacentral:rRNA from 1 species
CCUACGUGCGGCAGCAGUGAGGAAUAUUGGUCAAUGGGCGGAAGCCUGAACCAGCCAAGUCGCGUGAGGGAAUAAGGCCCUACGGGUCGUAAACCUCUUUUGCCGGGGAGCAAGGGCGGGGACGUGUCCCGGCCCGGAGAGUACCCGGAGAAAAAGCAUCGGCUAACUCCGUGCCAGCAGCCGCGGUAAUACGGAGGAUGCGAGCGUUAUCCGGAUUUAUUGGGUUUAAAGGGAGCGUAGAUGGGUUGUUAAGUCAGUUGUGAAAGUUUGCGGCUCAACCGUAAAAUUGCAAUUGAUACUGGCAGCCUUGAGUACAGUUGAGGUAGGCGGAAUUCGUGGUGUAGCGGUGAAAUGCUUAGAUAUCACGAAGAACUCCGAUUGCGAAGGCAGCCUACUAAACUGCCACUGACAUUGAUGCUCGGAAGUGUGGGUAUCAAACAGGAUUAGAUACCCGAGUAGUC